ACGUAUCUAGUCUUUACGAAUUUUACAAUACAUAAUUACAAACAUUCAGUUACAUAAUGGCUAAACACUUGUACUUUAUAUUGAUGACCGUGCUUUUAUUUCUCAGUGUGUCCAAAAUCUGGUGGGAAACUGCUAAUAAAACGCGAGUUUACAGGACAAAAGAGUGGCUCGAUAGACUUUUUAAAUCAGGAACUGCGUUACUUCGUAUCGGGUUCGAUGAAGAUCAAGAGUACUUUGAAUCUUAUUUUCUGCUAUAGUCUAUUACGCCAAGUUCACAUGUAUUAUAUAUGGUUUUCCCAAAGGCUAUACGUUUUUAACAAAAAUAUAACAUUUAUAUGUAAUCAAACUAUAAUCGCAGAAACGGGACAUUUGUCGGGAGAUUCAAGUUGGGUUGAUAAGCUAGCGAAUAAAAGCACAGGCUGCCCAGCCAAGAAGCCCUACUCUAAGCCUAGCGUACUUUAAACACAUUUUCUGUAUCCUACGCCGUUCACAUUUUGUAUUCUCUGUUUAAUUAUGCUUUACUAAGAUACUAAUAUGCAUGAAACUAUAUCUUAGUAUCCGACGACUAUCCGCAUAAUAAAAAAAAUUUAUACUUUUUAUAUUUUAAAAAA